UACGGGGGGAGCAAGCGUUGUUCGGAUUUACUGGGCGUAAAGGGCGCGUAGGCGGCCUCCGCAAGUCAGUUGUGAAAUCUCCGAGCUUAACUCGGAAAGGUCAACUGAUACUGCGGGGCUAGAGUGCGGGAGGGGCAACUGGAAUUCUUGGUGUAGCGGUGAAAUGCGUAGAUAUCAAGAGGAACACCUGCGGCGAAGGCGGGUUGCUGGGCCGACACUGACGCUGAGGCGCGAAAGCUAGGGGAGCGAACGGG
rnacentral:rRNA from 1 species